AGGGGCACGCGACUCCGCGCCGAAGUCAAUUGUGAUGCGGUCGGCUUUUUAGGGACCCCGUUCACGGCGACUUUUCGUAGCGAUGCUGCCGCG
rnacentral:ncRNA from 2 species